CCUACGGGUGGCAGCAGUAGGGAAUCUUUCACAAUGGGCGAAAGCCUGAUGGAGCAACGCCGCGUGCAGGAUGAAGGCCUUCGGGUUGUAAACUGCUUUUAUAAGCGAGAAAUAUGACGGUAACUUAUGAAUAAGGAUCGGCUAACUCCGUGCCAGCUGCCGCGGUCAUACGUAGGAUCCGAGCAUUAUCCGGAGUGACUGGGUGUAAAGAGUUGCGUAGGUGGCAUAAUAAGUAGCUGGUGAAAUCUGGUGGCUCAACCAUUCAGACUAUUAGCUAAACUGUUAAGCUCGAGAACGUUGGGGGUAACUGGAAUUUCUAGUGUAGGAGUGAAAUCCGUAGAUAUUAGAAGGAACACCAAUAGCGUAGGCAGGUUACUGGGACGGUUCUGACACUAAGGCACGAAAGCGUAGGGAGCAAACGGGAUUAGAUACCCCUGUAGUC
rnacentral:rRNA from 1 species